AUACGUAGGUGGCGAGCGUUGUCCGGAAUUACUGGGCGUAAAGGGUGCGUAGGCGGAUAAUCAAGUCAGAUGUGAAAGUCCAUGGCUCAACUGUGGGAGUGCAUUUGAGACUGAAGAUCUAGAGUGCAGGAGAGGGAAGCGGAAUUCCUAGUGUAGCGGUGAAAUGCGUAGAUAUUAGGAAGAACACCAGUGGCGAAGGCGGCUUUCUGGACUGUAACUGACGCUGAAGCACGAAAGCGUGGGGAGCAAACAGGAUUAGAUACCCUGGUAGUCCACGCUGUAAACGAUGAGUAUUAGGUGUAGGGGACGAUAGUCUUCUGUGCCGGAGCAAACGCAAUAAAUACUCCGCCUGGGGAGUACGGUCACAAGACUAAA
rnacentral:rRNA from 1 species